UACGUAGGGUGCAAGCGUUGUCCGGAAUCAUUGGGCGUAAAGCGCGUGUAGGCGGCUUGGUAAGUCCGCUCUGAAAGCCCGGGGCUCAACCCCGGGAGGCGGGUGGAUACUGUCGGGCUUGAGUACGGAAGAGGCGAGUGGAAUUCCUGGUGUAGCGGUGAAAUGCGCAGAUAUCAGGAGGAACACCGGUGGCGAAGGCGGGUCUCUGGGCCGUAACUGACGCUGAGGAGCGAAAGCGUGGGGAGCGAACAGG
rnacentral:rRNA from 1 species